CAGCGUGUCCCUGCCGCAGCAGCAGAAACCACACCGUCUGCAUCCCCACAUUCUCCACGCGGGACGCGCAGCCUUGCGACAAGUGUUCUUAAAGCAGAGAUGAAUAAUACUGCAGCCAGCCCAAUGUCUACUGCCACUUCAAGUAGUGGAAGAAGUACAGGAAAGUCUGCAAGCUUUGCCUCAGAAUUGCAGAGUAUGAUGUUUUCUUUAGGUGAUUCUAAGAAGCCUCUUCAUGAAACAGCAGUUUUGGUAGAAGAUGUGGUACACACUCAGUUAAUUAAUCUGUUACACCAAGCUGCUGAAGUUUCUCAGCUCCGGGGAGCAAGGGUAGUAUCUCCUGAAGAUCUUCUGUUUUUCAUGCGCAAAGAUAAGAAAAAACUUAGAAGACUGUUAAAAUACAUGUUUUUCCGAGACUACAAAUCAAAGAUUGUCAAAGGCAUAGACGAGGAUGAUCUUCUUGAAGACAAAAUGAGUGGCAGUAAUAAUGCACACAAAAGACAGAAAACCGCACAGGACUUUCUCAACUCUAUUGACCAAACGGGAGAACUCUUGGCGAUGUUUGAAGAUGAUGAAAUUGAUGAAGUUAAACAAGAAAGAAUGGAGAGAGCAGAAAGACAAACUCGAAUUAUGGAUUCAGCCUAAUAUGCAGAAUUCUGUGAAAGUCGACAAUUGAGUUUCUCCAAAAAAGCCUCCAAAUUUCGAGACUGGUUGGACUGUAGCAGUAUGGAGAUAAAACCCAAUGUUAUCGCUAUGGAAAUUUUGGCAUAUUUAGCGUAUGAAACUGUGGCACAGUUAGUGGAUCUGGCUCUACUUGUGAGGCAGGACAUGGGAACCAAGGCAGGAGACCCGUUCGGCCACGCCAUUUCGGCCGCCUUCAUUCAGUAUCACAGCUCUGCCGAGGGAUCUUGCAUGAAGUCCUACCCAGACUCCCCUGAAAAUACACCUCCUCCUACACCAACAGCUCCAUCCUCUGGACCACAGCAUGCAGGGAAAGCCACAGCAGGAUCCCUCGGGAAUGGGAAUGCUGGACAAGACUCAGCAAAAACCAAGCGAAGGAAAAGAAAAAAGAGCACUGCACCUGUGGUGUUGAGGCUCACAGCGAUGCCAUCCAGCCCUGCCACAUCAGAGAGGCCAUUUGGCGCUACGGCCACAAGAUUGGCCCCCUUUCCCCAUUCAUAG